GAUGAACGCUAGCUACAGGCUUAACACAUGCAAGUCGAGGGACCGGCGCACGUGUGAGUAACACGUAUCCCACCUGCCCUUUACUCGGUGAUAGCCUUUCGAAAGAAAGAUUAAUACCCGAUGUAAAGGAUGGGGAUGCGUUCCAUUAGGUUGUUGGUGAGGUAACGGCUCACCAAGCCUUCGAUGGAUAGGGGUUCUGAGGGGAAGGUCCCCCACAUUGGAACUGAGACACGGUCCAAACUCGUACGGGAGGCAGCAGUGAGGAGUAUUGGUCAAUGGGCGUUAGCCUGAACCAGCCAAGUAGCGGGAAGGAUGAAGGCUUAUGGGUCGUAAACUUCUUUUAUAGAAGAAUAUGUAUUAGAUGAAUAAGGAUCGGCUAACUCCGUGCCAGCAGCCGCGGUAAUUC
rnacentral:rRNA from 1 species